rnacentral:rRNA from 1 species
UACGGGGGGAGCAAGCGUUGUUCGGAUUUACUGGGCGUAAAGGGCGCGUAGGCGGUCAGCACAAGUCAGUUGUGAAAUCUCUGGGCUUAACUCGGAAAGGUCAACUGAUACUGUGCGACUAGAGUGCAGAAGGGGCAACUGGAAUUCUCGGUGUAGCGGUGAAAUGCGUAGAUAUCGAGAGGAACACCUGCGGCGAAGGCGGGUUGCUGGGCUGACACUGACGCUGAGGCGCGAAAGCCAGGGGAGCGAACGGG